UCCAGAAGACCCAGCCUUCCCAGUGUAGGUGGGCCGGGUCCUCGGAAAGACCCAGCCUUCCCAGUGUAGGUGGGCCGGGUCCUCCGAAAGACCCAGCCUUCCCAGUGUAGGUGGACCGGGUCCUCCGAAAGACCCAGCCUUCCCAGUGUAGGUGGGCCGGGUCCUCCGAAAGACCCAGCCUUCCCAGUGUAGGUGGACCGGGUCCUCCGAAAGACCCAGCCUUCCCAGUGUAGGUGGGCCGGGUCCUCCGAAAGACCCAGCCUUCCCAGUGUAGGUGGGCCAGGUCCUCGGAAAGACCCAGCCUUCCCAGUGUAGGUGGGCCAGGUCCUCCGAAAGACCCAGCCUUUCCAGUGUAGGUGGGCCAGGUCCUCCGAAAGACCCAGCCUUCCCAGUGUAGGUGGGCCAGGUCCUCGGAAAGACCCAGCCUUCCCAGUGUAGGUGGGCCAGGUCCUCGGAAAGACCCAGCCUUCCCAGUGUAGGUGGGCCAGGUCCUCCGAAAGACCCAGCCUUCCCAGUGUAGGUGGGCCAGGUCCUCAGUAAACUGUGAAGACCAGAAAAAAGAGGCUGUGUUUUGGAUGGUCUUGGCUCCCGUCUUUACCCCGCUGUACAUCCUGUCGCCUACCAACUGUGAUGACA